rnacentral:pre_miRNA from 1 species
AGUGGGAUAGCUGGGUCAAAUGGUGGUUUCAUUCUGAAUUUUCUGAGGAAUCUCUAUACUGCUUUCCAUAAUGGUUGCACCAGUUGGCAUUCCCACCAGCAAU